rnacentral:siRNA from 1 species
ACGUCCUUCCAAACCCGUUUCGCC